CAAUAGCGUAUAUUUAAGUUGUUGCAGUUAAAAAGCUCGUAGUUGGAUUUCGGUUAAGAGCGACCGGUCCGCCGUUUGGUGUGCACUGGUUGGUUUUAACUUCCUGUAGAGGACGUGCUCCGGGUUUAACGACCUGGACUCGGAGUCUACGUGGUUACUUUGAAAAAAUUAGAGUGUUCAAAGCGGGCUUACGCUUGAAUAUUUCAGCAUGGAAUAACACUAUAGGACUCCUGUCCUAUUUCGUUGGUCUCGGGACGGGAGUAAUGAUUAAGAGGAACAGUUGGGGGCAUUCGUAUUUCAUUGUCAGAGGUGAAAUUCUCGGAUUUAUGAAAGACGAACUUCUGCGAAAGCAUUUGCCAAGGAUGUUUUCAUUAA
rnacentral:rRNA from 1 species